rnacentral:tRNA from 1 species
GCCUGGGUGGCUCAGUGGCUGAGCGUCUGACUUCAGCUCAGGUCACGAUCUCGUGGUCCGUGAGUUUGAGCCCUGCAUCGGGCU